GGCCAAUUGAGCUUGGAUGGAGCUGAAAGGGCUCGUGGCGAGCGAUUUGGUGGUGGGUCGCGUAGCUCUCGGCGCUACGCUCUCACCGGCGCAAAAAAUAGUUGACUGUACAAUGUGAUCGGAUCGAUGUCGACGGAGAGGGGGAAAGCGGAAAUGAGAGAGUAGCGACACGCUAGAGCACCGGGGCUGCGAGUGAUCCACUUUAUAUCAAUUAUUCCUAGAGAAAUAUUCAUCGGGGCUAAUUGCUGGAGGUUGAACGCGCGCACCGCGUUGAGUUUACCAACGAUACGUUAUUCAUACAUAGAUAUCAACUAAUAACCUCGCUGUAACCUCGUUUACAGACUACGUGUUCUCGUGGUGAGAGUACACGACGCUUCAAUUGCGCUCCAGCGCUCGCCGGGCUGAAAGUAACCGCUAUAGUUUACUCCAGACGUCCAGACGUCGCGUCUACGCGUUCGACACGCGUUCGACGUGCCGUUUCAUAUUAUAUAUCCUGUCGCAUUUCCAAACGCAACGAGCACGACCGCUGGCAAGAGCGACUGGAUGAGCUUUUUGGCCUGGCAAAUGUUGAGGCUUUAUCGAAGCUUGGUGUGCAGAGUCCGCCUGCACCAAUUUUGCGGUAGAACGCAAAACGCUUCGGAUCGGUUCCGAUUGCGCGAGACCCAAGCAGAGAGAUCACACGACAUCUCCGCAUUUCGUCACGACAUCGAGGAGAUCGCGCCGCAGAAGCGUAAAUUGACGGUUACGCGAGUCGCUGGAUUUACAGAGCGCUUCGCUCCGACGGGCUUUCAAGCGGAGAUUUAGUUACCGAGACAUCGAGGAUAUCGAGGGGGGACUCGACAAGCCAUGACAAAGAAGAAGCGCCCACGGUGACUCUUUCCCCGAUACUUGCCCCUCGAGGAGAUUCUGACUUGAAAUUUUCACCGAGUACAUUCCAAAGUAUUGUUUCCGUGGCGGUCUCAGACGGUCGGUAUCCUUGUCGGCGCGAAGGAGUCCGUAUCAGCUGGGAUCUUGACGCGUUGUUUUCUCCUCGUUCUUUUCGCGAAACGCAAGGGAUCCCGGCCGCAGCACUUGGACGACGUUCGUGCGUCUCUUUGGCAAAACAUACCUUCGCGAUUCGUCGUUUCCAGUGUGCUUUCUCAAGCCUCCGCUCAGGCCGAUUUCAUCGGCGCUACGAGUUAUCAUCGCCCGCGAUGUAUUUGCUGCGUUAUUAGCGUUCAGUUCGUAAUCUAAAUCUACAUACUAAUCUUAUCACUUAGCUAAAACUAUGCGAGCGCGCUCGGUUUUCUCGCGUGUGUCACCGCUCUCUUUCUCUCUCUCUCUCUCUCUCUCUCUCUCUCUCUCUC